GACGAACGCUGGCGGCGUGCUUAACACAUGCAAGUCGAACGGAAAGGCCCUGCUUUUGUGGGGUGCUCGAGUGGCGAACGGGUGAGUAGCACGUGAGUAACCUGCCCUUGACUUUGGGAUAACUUCAGGAAACUGGGGCUAAUACCGGAUAGGAGCUCCUGCUGCAUGGUGGGGGUUGGAAAGUUUCGGCGGUUGGGGAUGGACUCGCGGCUUAUCAGCUUGUUGGUGGGGUAGUGGCUUACCAAGGCUUUGACGGGUAGCCGGCCUGAGAGGGUGACCGGCCACAUUGGGACUGAGAUACGGCCCAAACUCCUACGGGAGGCAGCAGUGGGGAAUAUUGCACAAUGGGCGGAAGCCUGAUGCAGCAACGCCGCGUGCGGGAUGACGGCCUUCGGGUUGUAAACCGCUUUCGCCUGUGACGAAGCGUGAGUGACGGUAAUGGGUAAAGAAGCACCGGCUAACUACGUG
rnacentral:rRNA from 1 species